GAAAUGCGAUAAGUAAUGUGAAUUGCAGAAUUCAGUGAAUCAUCGAAUCUUUGAACGCACAUUGCGCCCGCCAGCACUCUGGCGGGCAUGCCUGUUCGAGCGUCAUUUCAACCCUCAGAACCCCUUGCGGGAUCUGGCGUUGGGGAUUGGCAUCCAGUCAGCCCCGAAAUCUAGUGGCGGUCCCUCCGCGACCUCCCCUGUGCAGUAGCGAUACCUCGCAGCGGGACAGCGGUCUGACCACGCCGUAAAACCCCCAACUUCUCAAGGUUGACCUCGAAUCAGGUAGGAAUACCCGCUGAACUUGAGC
rnacentral:misc_RNA from 1 species